rnacentral:rRNA from 1 species
AACGAACGCUGGCGGCAGGCUUAACACAUGCAAGUCGAACGGCUGUAGCAAUACAGCAGUGGCAGACGGGUGAGUAACACGUGGGAACCUUCCUAGGGGUACGGAACAACUCAGGGAAACUUGAGCUAAUACCGUAUACGUCCGUAAGGAGAAAGAUUCAUCGCCCCUAGACGGGCCCGCGUCGGAUUAGGUAGUUGGUGGGGUAACGGCCUACCAAGCCUGCGAUCCGUAGCUGAUCUGAGAGGAUGAUCAGCCACACUGGGACUGAGACACGGCCCAGACUCCUACGGGAGGCAGCAGUGGGGAAUCUUGGACAAUGGGCGCAAGCCUGAUCCAGCGAUGCCGCGUGUGUGAAGAAGGCCUGCGGGUUGUAAAGCACUUUCAGUAGGGAAGAAAGCGAGUGCCAAUACACUCGGUCUUGACGUUACCUAAAGAAGAAGCACCGGCUAACUCCGUGCCAGC